GGAGGUUGUUACAGUGAAACAAGAAGUAGAGGAAGAGGAGGUUGUUACAGUGAAACAAGAAGAAGAGGAAGAGGAGGCUGUUACAGUAAAACAAGAAGUAGAAGGUGAGGCUGUUACAGUGAAACAAGAAGAAGACGCUUUCAGAGUGAAAGAGGAAGAGGAGGAACGAGAGAUUACUGUCACAUCGAAAGAAGAGGAGAAGAUAGGAGAUCUGAUUAACACCAAGUCCCCGGGUCGUACCUCUUCUGGUAUCACCUUACUGCUGGGUCUGAAGAGGGUGUCUGUGAGGCUGGUGGACUGCAGGAAAACACUGAGGCGGAGUGGAACUACAAGAGGAGGACAAGAGGAGGAAGAGGGAGAUUUGACACAUCAAAGAGAGAGACGGGACUAUCGUGGAUCCUCUGGGGAGCCUCAACAACCUCAUGAUGCUGACGAGGCAGAGAAGAGUCUCACCAGAGAAAGAAUCCACACAGGAGAAAAGCCAUACCACUGCUCUCAGUGUGGAAUGACUUUCUCUGAAUCACAUUCAUUGAAAUCACACCUUAGAAUUCACACAGGAAAUAAAUCUUAUGGCUGUGAUCAAUUUGGGAAGAGAUUUACUCAGCCAAGCAACAUGAAAUCACACCAACAGACACACACUGGAGAGAAACCUCACCACUGUUCAGAUUGUGGAAAAAGCUUUUCAACGUCAAAGUAUUUGAAGCUGCACCAGCGGAUACACACAGGACUGAAGCCUUAUAGCUGUGAUCUAUGUGGGAAGAGAUUCCUUCGGUUAGCCCACCUGAAUGUACACAAGAGAAUACACACUGGGGAAAAACCAUACCACUGCCCCGACUGUGGGAGUAAUUUUGUUCAUUCAAGUAGUCUGAAAACACACCAGCUGGCACACAAAGGACAGAAGCCAAAACCUUACCACUGCUCCGACUGUGAGAAGAGCUUUUCAACAUCACAUUAUUUAAAGCGGCACCAGAGAACACAUACUGGAGAGAAGCCGUAUGGUUGUGAUUGUUGUGAGAAGAGAUAUGCUUUCACAAGUAGCCUGAGUUAUCAUAAACAAACCCACACUGGAUAGAAACCGUACCACUGCUCUGAAUGUUAUUCAAGUUCUCUGAUUUACAUUUUUAAAAGAUAUACACAUGAGAUCUACAUGACCUCCAACACCAGACCUGGGUAGUAGAACACAGAGUGUGGAAUGAUCUCUAACACCAGACCUGGGUUGUAGAACACAGAGUGGAAUGGCGCCGGAGAAGAAGGCCCCCAACCGAUUGUGUAAUUUUAAAUUGUUUAUUUGCAUCGUUUGUAACUCUUUUUAAUGUUGUCGCUUAUGACCGAAAAUAACUUCUAGACAUCAAGACUGCGAUUACUCACGGACUAGCAGAAACAUUAUGACUCUGAUAAACAGCUCCCUCGGGAACAGGCCCAGAGCCUCGCGUGUUUGUUUCCAGGACAACCUACCAUCUGUGUGAAGAGGAGGUGGAGAAAAAAUGACUACCCAGACUAAUGACUACCCAGACU